rnacentral:pre_miRNA from 1 species
AAAGUACUCCCUCCAUCCCAAAAUUCUUGUCUUAGAUUUGUCUAGAUACGGAUGUUUCAAGUCACAUUUUAGUAUUAGAUACAUCCGUAUCUAGACAAAUCUAAGACAAGAAAUUUGGGACAGAGGGAGUAUUUG